CCUGGAAGAAAGCACCAGAGCUGAGCUGUACCACACAGACCUCUUUCUCAUUCACGUUAGGAAAGCAUGCACACCUGGCCUAACGUCUUUAUAAGGGAAGGGAGCAAUGUCAUUGGGUCAGUGACUUUAGGUGAAUUGUUGCUCUUUUAUUUGGGAGAGCCUGGCCCUGUGACCAGACUCUUAAACCCUUCCAGAAAGUGAACCAUCAGGUAUGUUGUAUCUCAGCCUGUCAUCUGCAUUACUGUUUAUCUGUAACUAAUCAUUUUAGUUAACUGUAUAAGAUUAACAACCUCUCACCCACUCUUUUUCUGAGUUACUUUUAAAUCUGUAUGUUCUGGGGUCCCAGAGGGGCACCAGGUAUUGUGUUCUAACCUACACUUAAAUGUCUGUGUUUAUAAUUCUGAGGGAACCAAGACAGAAAGAAUAUUCCCGUGUCAGUGUAUCAGGAGCGCCCCAGUAUGGUUUUAUUUAAGCUAAACUAUAGGACAUCCAAGGAACUGAAACUCUGAGCACUUUCCCAGUUAGUAGAAACCUAAUACUAAAACCCUCAGCCCCAGCUGAAGCCAUCUGAGGGCACAAAGGACACAGAAUUAAGCAUAACAGAGUAUCCACUACUUUUUCAUGAGCUGUCCAUAUCCCCUCCCCUUGAAUCUACGAAUAAAGGAGCAUCAGUGAGUGA